AUAAAUGGGAACUAUCAAAGACUUGGGAUAGUGUCCCUAAACACCCUGAUAGUUGAUGCCUUGAAAAGGAAAUUUAGUUGAUUGGCAAUUUGAUUACUAUUUUGUCUGUGUGAUGUAUGAUAUUUGUUGCAUCAUGGUUAUUUGUGAAAUACUAUUGAAAAAUGGUAAUACAUGCAGAAUUUUUAUGAUGUUGGGCAUCACCUAAGAAAUGGCAUCUUUCUAUUCUCAUUAUUUUAAUGAAGACAUUCCUGGAAAUAUAGGAAUAGAAAUAAAUGCUUCGGUGCCAUAGACUCAUUAGUUUGGAGAAUUCAUCAGAUUGUUGCAAUGACCUCGAGACAUUGCCAUUUUUGUUGUUGUUGUUUUAUGACCAUUGUAUAUUUUUGAAAUUACAAAUAGAGAAGAAUGGCACAAUGAUCCUUGCUCCAACAACCUAUGGUUUCCUCUUUCAAUUUCGUCGCAAACAAUUGUCACCAUUUCUACCAUCGAGAGCAGCUCCAUAGAAGAAUGAUGCCAUGAUCCUCGCAUCAACAACCAUGGCUUCUUCUUUCAUACUCGUCAGUACCAUUUCACUACCAUUUCCAACAUUGAGGGCAUAUCCAUUGAAGAUGCAGAAAAAUAUUGUUCAAAGUUGAAGAACAAUGGCCUGAUACUGUUCCCUGUAACAUCAUUCUCGUUAUAUUUUGGAGAGAAAAGAAGAGAGAGAAUGGUUAGAUUUGAGAGGAGGUGGAUAGAGAGAGCCUAAAGCCAUGAAAGAGAAACUUGGAGGAGAGAGAGGAAGAGAGGAAAUGGUUGGAUUUCAGAUAGAAGUGGGUCGAGAGAGCCUAAAGCCAUGAAAGAGAAACUUGGAGGAGAGAGAGGAAGAGAGGAAAUG
rnacentral:lncRNA from 1 species